GGGUUGUGAGGUUAAGCGACUAAGCGUACACGGUGGAUGCCCUGGCAGUCAGAGGCGAUGAAGGGCGUGCUAAUCUGCGAUAAGCGCCGGUAAGGUGAUAUGAACCGUUAUAACCGGCGAUACCCGAAUGGGGAAACCCAGUGUGAUUCGUCACACUAUCAUUAACUGAAUCCAUAGGUUAAUGAGGCGAACCGGGGGAACUGAAACAUCUAAGUACCCCGAGGAAAAGAAAUCAACCGAGAUUCCCCCAGUAGCGGCGAGCGAACGGGGAGGAGCCCAGAGCCUGAAUCAGCAUGUGUGUUAGUGGAAGCGUCUGGAAAGGCGCGCGAUACAGGGUGACAGCCCCGUACACAAAAGCGCAUGUGCUGUGAGCUCGAUGAGUAGGGCGGGACACGUGGUAUCCUGUCUGAAUAUGGGGGGACCAUCCUCCAAGGCUAAAUACUCCUGACUGACCGAUAGUGAACCAGUACCGUGAGGGAAAGGCGAAAAGAACCCCGGCGAGGGGAGUGAAAAAGAACCUGAAACCGUGUACGUACAAGCAGUGGGAGCNNNNNNNNNNNNNNNNNNNNNNNNNNNNNNNNNNNNNNNNNNGGCGUUAAGUUGCAGGGUAUAGACCCGAAACCCGGUGAUCUAGCCAUGGGCAGGUUGAAGGUUGGGUAACACUAACUGGAGGACCGAACCGACUAAUGUUGAAAAAUUAGCGGAUGACCUGUGGCUGGGGGUGAAAGGCCAAUCAAACCGGGAGAUAGCUGGUUCUCCCCGAAAGCUAUUUAGGUAGCGCCUCGUGAAUUCAUCUCCGGGGGUAGAGCACUGUUUCGGCUAGGGGGCCAUCCCGGCUUACCAACCCGAUGCAAACUGCGAAUACCGGAGAAUGUUAUCACGGGAGACACACGGCGGGUGCUAACGUCCGUCGUGAAGAGGGAAACAACCCAGACCGCCAGCUAAGGUCCCAAAGUCAUGGUUAAGUGGGAAACGAUGUGGGAAGGCCCAGACAGCCAGGAUGUUGGCUUAGAAGCAGCCAUCAUUUAAAGAAAGCGUAAUAGCUCACUGGUCGAGUCGGCCUGCGCGGAAGAUGUAACGGGGCUAAACCAUGCACCGAAGCUGCGGCAGCGACACUGUGUGUUGUUGGGUAGGGGAGCGUUCUGUAAGCCUGCGAAGGUGGCCUGUGAGGGUUGCUGGAGGUAUCAGAAGUGCGAAUGCUGACAUAAGUAACGAUAAAGCGGGUGAAAAGCCCGCUCGCCGGAAGACCAAGGGUUCCUGUCCAACGUUAAUCGGGGCAGGGUGAGUCGACCCCUAAGGCGAGGCCGAAAGGCGUAGUCGAUGGGAAACGGGUUAAUAUUCCCGUACUUGGUGUUACUGCGAAGGGGGGACGGAGAAGGCUAUGUUGGCCGGGCGACGGUUGUCCCGGUUUAAGCGUGUAGGUGUGUGUUCCAGGUAAAUCCGGUUCACUUUAACACUGAGGCGUGACGACGAGGCACUACGGUGCUGAAGCAACAAAUGCCCUGCUUCCAGGAAAAGCCUCUAAGCAUCAGGUAACAUCAAAUCGUACCCCAAACCGACACAGGUGGUCAGGUAGAGAAUACCAAGGCGCUUGAGAGAACUCGGGUGAAGGAACUAGGCAAAAUGGUGCCGUAACUUCGGGAGAAGGCACGCUGACACGUAGGUGAAGUGAUUUACUCAUGGAGCUGAAGUCAGUCGAAGAUACCAGCUGGCUGCAACUGUUUAUUAAAAACACAGCACUGUGCAAACACGAAAGUGGACGUAUACGGUGUGACGCCUGCCCGGUGCCGGAAGGUUAAUUGAUGGGGUCAGCGCAAGCGAAGCUCCUGAUCGAAGCCCCGGUAAACGGCGGCCGUAACUAUAACGGUCCUAAGGUAGCGAAAUUCCUUGUCGGGUAAGUUCCGACCUGCACGAAUGGCGUAAUGAUGGCCAGGCUGUCUCCACCCGAGACUCAGUGAAAUUGAACUCGCUGUGAAGAUGCAGUGUACCCGCGGCAAGACGGAAAGACCCCGUGAACCUUUACUAUAGCUUGACACUGAACAUUGAGCCUUGAUGUGUAGGAUAGGUGGGAGGCUUUGAAGUGUGGACGCCAGUCUGCAUGGAGCCGACCUUGAAAUACCACCCUUUAAUGUUUGAUGUUCUAACGUGGACCCGUUACCCGGGUUGCGGACAGUGUCUGGUGGGUAGUUUGACUGGGGCGGUCUCCUCCUAAAGAGUAACGGAGGAGCACGAAGGUUGGCUAAUCCUGGUCGGACAUCAGGAGGUUAGUGCAAUGGCAUAAGCCAGCUUGACUGCGAGCGUGACGGCGCGAGCAGGUGCGAAAGCAGGUCAUAGUGAUCCGGUGGUUCUGAAUGGAAGGGCCAUCGCUCAACGGAUAAAAGGUACUCCGGGGAUAACAGGCUGAUACCGCCCAAGAGUUCAUAUCGACGGCGGUGUUUGGCACCUCGAUGUCGGCUCAUCACAUCCUGGGGCUGAAGUAGGUCCCAAGGGUAUGGCUGUUCGCCAUUUAAAGUGGUACGCGAGCUGGGUUUAGAACGUCGUGAGACAGUUCGGUCCCUAUCUGCCGUGGGCGCUGGAGAACUGAGGGGGGCUGCUCCUAGUACGAGAGGACCGGAGUGGACGCAUCACUGGUGUUCGGGUUGUCAUGCCAAUGGCACUGCCCGGUAGCUAAAUGCGGAAGAGAUAAGUGCUGAAAGCAUCUAAGCACGAAACUUGCCCCGAGAUGAGUUCUCCCUGAGACUUAGAGUCUCCUGAAGGAACGUUGAAGACGACGACGUUGAUAGGCCGGGUGUGUAAGCGCAGCGAUGCGUUGAGCUAACCGGUACUAAUGAACCGUGAGGCUUAACCUUACAACGCCGAAG
rnacentral:rRNA from 1 species